rnacentral:rRNA from 1 species
ACGAACGCUGGCGGCGUGCUUAACACAUGCCAGUCGAACGGAAAGGCCCUGCUUUUGUGGGGUGCUCGAGUGGCGAACGGGUGAGUAACACGUGAGUAACCUGCCCUUGACUUUGGGAUAACUUCAGGAAACUGGGGCUAAUACCGGAUAGGAGCUCCUGCUGCAUGGUGGGGGUUGGAAAGUUUCGGCGGUUGGGGAUGGACUCGCGGCUUAUCAGCUUGUUGGUGGGGUAGUGGCUUACCAAGGCUUUGACGGGUAGCCGGCCUGAGAGGGUGACCGGCCACAUUGGGACUGAGAUACGGCCCAGACUCCUACGGGAGGCAGCAGUGGGGAAUAUUGCACAAUGGGCGGAAGCCUGAUGCGGCAACGCCGCGUGCGGGAUGACGGCCUUCGGGUUGUAAACCGCUUUCGCCUGUGACGAAGCGUGAGUGACGGUAAUGGGUAAAGAAGCACCGGCUAACUACGUG